GAUCCUGGCUCAGGAUAAACGCUGGCGGCGCACAUAAGACAUGCAAGUCGAACGGAAGUCGUUGUAAUGAUAUAGACAUGGACGGAGAACUUGUUCAAAGAAAGUGAAAGUUGACUUACAACAAUGGCCUUAGUGGCGGACUGGUGAGUAACACGUAAGCAACCUGCCUAUCAGAGGGGAACAACAGUUAGAAAUGGCUGCUAAUACCGCAUAUGCCUAAGUAUCAC
rnacentral:rRNA from 1 species